ensembl:snoRNA
ACCCUCCAGAUUCUUAACCAAUCAGACCUAAACAUUGGUCUGAGUGGUUAUAAAAGGAGGAAAAGGUAAAAUUGAAAUGGACUUAAAUUCUUUUGUGACACACAAGCUAAUUACAAACAUAA